rnacentral:rRNA from 1 species
AUCAGUGGCGAACGGGUGAGUAACACGUGAGCAACCUGCCCCUGACUCUGGGAUAAGCGCUGGAAACGGCGUCUAAUACUGGAUAUGAGCUGCGACCGCAUGGUCAGCAGUUGGAAAGAUUUUUCGGUCUGGGAUGGGCUCACGGCCUAUCAGCUUGUUGGUGAGGUAAUGGCUCACCAAGGCGUCGACGGGUAGCCGGCCUGAGAGGGUGACCGGCCACACUGGGACUGAGACACGGCCCAGACUCCUACGGGAGGCAGCAGUGGGGAAUAUUGCACAAUGGGCGAAAGCCUGAUGCAGCAACGCCGCGUGAGGGAUGACGGCCUUCGGGUUGUAAACCUCUUUUAGCAGGGAAGAAGCGAAAGUGACGGUACCUGCAGAAAAAGCGCCGGCUAACUACGUGCCAGCAGCCGCGGUAAUACGUAGGGCGCAAGCGUUAUCCGGAAUUAUUGGGCGUAAAGAGCUCGUAGGCGGUUUGUCGCGUCUGCUGUGAAAUCCCGAGGCUCAACCUCGGGUCUGCAGUGGGUACGGGCAGACUAGAGUGCGGUAGGGGAGAUUGGAAUUCCUGGUGUAGCGGUGGAAUGCGCAGAUAUCAGGAGGAACACCGAUGGCGAAGGCAGAUCUCUGGGCCGUUACUGACGCUGAGGAGCGAAAGGGUGGGGAGCAAACAGGCUUAGAUACCCUGGUAGUCCACCCCGUAAACGUUGGGAACUAGUUGUGGGGUCCAUUCCACGGAUUCCGUGACGCAGCUAACGCA